GACGAACGCUGGCGGCACGCCUAACACAUGCAAGUCGAACGCCCUCUUCGGAGGGAGUGGCGGACGGGUGAGUAACGCGUGGGAACCUGCCCCGUGGUGGGGAAUAACCCAGGGAAACUUGGGAUAAUACCGCAUAAGCCCGACGGUUUUGGAGAUCGUCGGGGAAAGAUUUAUCGCCACGGGAUGGGCCCGCGUCGGAUUAGCUUGUUGGUGAGGUAACGGCUCACCAAGGCGACGAUCCGUAGCUGGUCUGAGAGGACGACCAGCCACACUGGGACUGAGACACGGCCCAGACUCCUACGGGAGGCAGCAGUGGGGAAUCUUGGACAAUGGGCGAAAGCCUGAUCCAGCAAUGCCGCGUGAGUGAUGAAGGCCUUAGGGUUGUAAAGCUCUUUUACCCGGGAUGAUAAUGACAGUACCGGGAGAAUAAGCCCCGGCUAACUCCGUGCCAGCAGCCGCGGUAAUACGGAGGGGGCUAGCGUUGUUCGGAAUUACUGGGCGUAAAGCGCACGUAGGCGGCUUUGUAAGUUAGAGGUGAAAGCCCGGGGCUCAACUCCGGAAUUGCCUUUAAGACUGCAUCGCUAGAAUUGUGGAGAGGUAAGUGGAAUUCCGAGUGUAGAGGUGAAAUUCGUAGAUAUUCGGAAGAACACCAGUGGCGAAGGCGACUUACUGGACACAUAUUGACGCUGAGGUGCGAAAGCGUGGGCAGCAAACAGGAUUAGAUACCCUGGUAGUCCACGCCGUAAACGAUGAUGACUAGCUGUCCGGGCACUUAGUGCUUGGGUGGCGCAGCUAACGCGUUAAGUCAUCCGCCUGGGAGUACGGCCGCAAGGUUAA
rnacentral:rRNA from 1 species